rnacentral:rRNA from 1 species
UACGAAGGGGGCUAGCGUUGCUCGGAAUCACUGGGCGUAAAGGGCGCGUAGGCGGAUCUUUAAGUCGGGGGUGAAAGCCCAGGGCUCAACCCUGGAAUUGCCUUCGAUACUGGAGAUCUUGAGACCGGAAGAGGUGAGUGGAACUCCUAGUGUAGAGGUGGAAUUCGUAGAUAUUAGGAAGAACACCAGUGGCGAAGGCGGCUCACUGGUCCGGUACUGACGCUGAGGUGCGAAAGCGUGGGGAGCAAACAGG